rnacentral:rRNA from 1 species
CCUUCGGGUGGUGGAAAGUGGCGGACGGGUGAGUAACGCGUGGGAACGUGCCUUUCGGUUCGGGAUAACCCAGGGAAACUUGGGCUAAUACCGGAUACGCCCUUCGGGGGAAAGAUUCAUUGCCGAAAGAUCGGCCCGCGUCGGAUUAGCUAGUUGGUGGGGUAAAAGCCUACCAAGGCGACGAUCCGUAGCUGGUCUGAGAGGAUGACCAGCCACACUGGGACUGAGACACGGCCCAGACUCCUACGGGAGGCAGCAGUGGGGAAUAUUGGACAAUGGGCGCAAGCCUGAUCCAGCCAUGCCGCGUGGGUGAAGAAGGCCCUAGGGUUGUAAACCCCUUUCAGCGGGGAAGAUAAUGACGGUACCCGCAGAAGAAGCCCCGGCUAACUCCGUGCCAGCAGCCGCGGUAAUACGGAGGGGGCUAGCGUUGUUCGGAAUUACUGGGCGUAAAGCGCGCGUAGGCGGACCUGCAAGUCGGGGGUGAAAGCCCGAGGCUCAACCUCGGAACUGUCUUCGAUACUGCGGGUCUCGAGUCCGGGAGAGGUGAGUGGAAUUCCUAGUGUAGAGGUGAAAUUCGUAGAUAUUAGGAAGAACACCAGUGGCGAAGGCGGCUCACUGGCCCGGUACUGACGCUGAGGCGCGAAAGCGUG